UACGUAGGUGACCAGCGUUGUCCGGAUUUACUGGGCGUAAAGAGCGCGCAGGCGGUCGUUCAAGUCGAGUGUGAAAGCCCCCGGCUCAACUGGGGAGGGUCAUUCGAUACUGAUCGACUUGAAGGCAGGAGAGGGAAAUGGAAUUCCCGGUGUAGUGGUGAAAUGCGUAGAUAUCGGGAGGAACACCAGUGGCGAAGGCGACUUCCUGGCCUGUUCUUGACGCUGAGGCGCGAAAGCUAGGGGAGCAAACGGG
rnacentral:rRNA from 1 species